UACGGAGGGUGCAAGCGUUAUCCGGAUUCACUGGGUUUAAAGGGUGCGUAGGUGGGCAGGUAAGUCAGUGGUGAAAUCUCUGGGCUUAACCCAGAAACUGCCGUUGAUACUAUCUGUCUUGAAUGUAGUGGAGGUGAGCGGAAUAUGUCAUGUAGCGGUGAAAUGCUUAGAUAUGACAUAGAACAUCUAUUGCGAAGGCAGCUCGCUACACUAUUAUUGACACUGAGGCACGAAAGCGUGGGGAUCAAACAGG
rnacentral:rRNA from 1 species